rfam:Brachypodium distachyon strain Bd21 chromosome 1, whole genome shotgun sequence.
AUACUACUCCCUCCGUCCAACAAAAAAUGUCUCAACUUUGACUAAAUUUGAAUGUAUUUAUACAGUAAGUCAUGCUUAGAUAUAUUCAAAUUUUGACAAACUUGAGACAUCUUUUGUUGGACGGAGGAAGUAUAUA